UUUUGGACAAUGGGCGCAAGCCUGAUCCAGCAAUGCCGCGUGCAGGAUGAAGGCCUUCGGGUUGUAAACUGCUUUUGUACGGAACGAAACGGCGAGCUCUAAUACAGUUUGCUAAUGACGGUACCGUAAGAAUAAGCACCGGCUAACUACGUGCCAGCAGCCGCGGUAAUACGUAGGGUGCAAGCGUUAAUCGGAAUUACUGGGCGUAAAGCGUGCGCAGGCGGUUAUGUAAGACAGAUGUGAAAUCCCCGGGCUUAACCUGGGAACUGCAUUUGUGACUGCAUAGCUAGAGUACGGUAGAGGGGGAUGGAAUUCCGCGUGUAGCAGCGAAAUGCGUAGAUAUGCGGAGGAACACCGAUGGCGAAGGCGAUCCCCUGGAGCCUGUACUGACGCUCAUGCACGAGG
rnacentral:rRNA from 1 species